GCCAGGCAUGGUGGCUCAUGCCUGUAAUCCCAGCACUUUGGGAGGCUGAGGCGGGUGGAUCACCUGAGGUCAGGAGUUUGAGACCAGCCUGGCCAACAUGGUGAAACCCUGUCUCUA
rnacentral:SRP_RNA from 2 species